UUAUCCUUCUCAACUAGACACAGCUUUUGUGGUGUGUAACAAGAAGAGCCAUAGGCUAGUAUCUGUUCUAGUAUAAUCAGGGGGACACAGCAACAGCUCUGAUCAAGAUGAGUCAAAUGAUUACCUUGUGCCUAGGAAUGGUCAUACUGGCUUUUAUCAUACCCAGUCAGGUUCACAGUCAAUCUACUGUCAAAUCAAGUGAUACAAAUGGAACAGCAGUGACUCAGAAUUCAUCAUCCACAACAAAUUCAAGUGGUGUAUCACCAGCUACGACUUCUACAAACACUACAACGCCACAUUCGCAUGCAGCUUCUUUGUAUACAUCUUCUGCUCUCCUCCUCAGCAUUGCCUGCGUCUCUCUUCUAAACCUUUGCUGCUAAGGGAUUGUGACCUAUGUACGACAACAGACCACUCUCACCACUUUUUUCUCGUAACCAAGCACAUCAUGGAAAGGCAUCUAAUGCCAUGCAAGAUCUACGAACCCCCCUGUCUGAAUGUUUUGCUCCUCUUGACUGAAGCUUUCCCUCCAAUUAAUGUUGUAUCAGACACAGGGAAUUGAAAACCUCCAGAAUCUAAACCUUGAAGAAAUGUGUUCCCUAAGUGGAAAACCUGAGAUACUAUCCCAUGGUGAAACCUAACAAGACAUAUAAUAUGAGCUGCAAGACACAGUUGUAACAGAGAUGAUGGCAGGGUCACAGAGACCAUAGCAAGGACUGAACAGACUCAAAGACUGUUUUGCUCAUAUGUAGAAAGCUAUGUUUAUAUAAAUAACAACAUGUAGACUAAGUAAUGCAUUUGUAACCAUGUAACCAAAUAAAUUUGUAUGGUACACAUUGA